CAUGUUGCAUUUGUAUGUAAAAGUCACACAAGUUCAAAGAAGUCCUGUUCAAACACCAAUGUACAAAUAUAAUCUUUUGAUCACAUCAAAUGAUGCCCAGAUGUCACUUUUUUUAAUCUUAUAGUUGUAAUAGUAGUGAUCCUUGUGUGUUUAUCUCUUCUCAUUUCUCUUGUUUAGAACAAUCCUGCAAAAAACGGGCCUGGAGGGUGAAGUUGAGCCACAACAGGCCAAAAAAAAGUGGGACAACUUGAAAAAAAAAAAUACAAAGGAUGUUCAGGAAUGCAAAGAUCCAGGGACAGGGCAGGGGUCAGUGGGAAGCCUACUGCUGCCACCCGGCCAUGGUUUAUCCUCAGGUUCUGUGUUGCUGUUAUUGUUAAAUUAAAUUAAUAAAUUGUUUAUAAAAGUUA